UAAUUUGUACACCUAAAAAAUGUCUUCAUGAAACGAUCGAAGUGAUCGUGCAUUCUUGCACACACGUAUUCAUACGUACACACGCACGAAUGUAACGACAAAGUACGAAGUCGGUGCAAAUUCAUUACUUCAGAUCGUUACCAUGUGUUCUACCUUAUCUGUCUGUAACUGUUUCUUGACACUUGGACGGUAUUCUAAUUCUUAAUAAUUAAAAUUUUUAAUAUGUCUCAUUUACAGUGAACGUGUUAACAGAAAAAUUUGUAAAAUACUACUAACCUACCAACGUUUACCCUAUUUUAGCAUGUUGUUCGAAAAUGAAUAACAUAAAUAGUUGUACCUAUGCACAAUAUCAUUAUUAAUGUGAAUCAAGUUUUAUGCGGUGUAACAUUCCAUCAACAGAAAUUGCGGUCUUCAAUUGCGGACACGUGUGUCGUUUCAACGCGGAACGUUCCUCGGCAAAUGAUCUAAUUACGUAGCUGCUGAAUUAAAACUGACCGGCAGCAAUGAAUGUAGUAACCAUGAAGGGGAAAGAUUGAUAAAAUUGCAUCAAUUGUUCAUGAUCGCAUUAAUAUUCAAACGUCACGAUAUUUAACCAUCAGGAGUCGCAACAUUGUUAAAGUCAUGAUUGACUUAGCUUCAUUAUUCGAGGGUUAAACAAAUACUAGUUCAAAAGAUAAUUAUUCAAAACGGUACUAUUAUUUCAAAAUGCUUAUUGCUCCAAAAACAAUUCUGAAUGUACUUGUUAUUUUUAAAAUUUAUAUGUAUUACAGUGUGGUGAUAUUUACUAUGGGAAUGGUAGGAUUAUUAAUCUUUAUUUUUCCACUUCCAGAUGAUCUAAUCAUUGGCGUACCAAGGAUUCUUUUGCAGGGGGAAGGGGCAGGUUCUUUAGAAAUUUUGAAGUUUUAGAAUCUUUGAAUUUUGAAAUUUUGGAAACAUGAAAUUUUUAAAGGCUAAGGAUCUUGGAACUUUUAAAUUUUCAAAUUCUCAAAUGAUGAAGGUACCAGCCUUCAGUUUUUGGAGAACUAGAACCCCUCCGUCCCUACCCAGUUGCUUAAAAGUUAUCUUCCAUUGUUGUACCAUUUGGUACGCUUAUAAGUUCGAUCUUCUAGACACGGUAUUGGAUUAACCUGAAUUAAUGAAAUUGCCUCAUCGGUCAGUGUCUACUUGGAAAUUCCAAGUAGAUCCUGAAUGAUUCAAUGACGCUACAAAAACUUCAUUAGUUAUGAUAUUACCAUAGUCAUAAAUUUGGAUGAAUCAACAAAUUUCCUUACAAUCAGGAAAUAACAUGUGUAAUAGGACUAAUUGCGUCUUGAAAGUGAAAAUAUUUCGUUUGGUAAAAAGUUUUCAAGGACUUCGACUUUCGCUUUACUGAUUUCAUGUGACACAUUUAAUCACAUCAAUACAGCCGAAAAUUCGAAGGUCUACUAUAAUAUCGAAAUGCUUCAGCUGUACGUAAAUGGCAAUGGAGAGUUAAUUUUGGUCAUUCAGAUCGGAAUUACCACGGAAUACAUUAUAAGACCAUUAUCGCUCCUAUAUUAUGAAGUGACACGUUUAUCAGAAAAAGAAGACGUGUGUUUAUUACAGUUUUCAAUAUUAAAAUAUCUUAUCGAUAAUUAAUCAUUUUUUUCUACCAUUCUCGGUAAAAUAACCUUAAGAGAACAUACGCCUACUAAGAGACUUAAAAAUUUUUCAUUUUCACUCAAAAUGGUCUAAUUCCUUAAAUAUGAAAAAGAAUGAAAUAUAUUGGUAGAAUAUUUUUUAAUUUGAACUUGAAUUAUUAAUGCAAUACUAAUGCCAUCCAAAAAUCGUUGUUUUCUUCUUUACUACAAUUAUUAAGAAUAUAAAUUAAUUCGCUGCCUCUAGUAUUACGCCUUCUUAAUUACCAAUUUAAAUUUGAAUAUAUUCCUGCGUUCGGUGUACUUGAAAAGUGGCGCGAAAACAUGAUGACGAUAAAAAUAACUUCAAUAAUUGAAGUUACCAUGACUUUUUAAAAAUAAGAAGAGGCACAGAAUUAAUUUGUGCACCUAAUAUUCGCGGCGUUGGUUAUUGAUGAUCACCAUAUGGAAGUAAACGUGUUAAUGAUGGAUUCCAAAAUUUGAUGAUAUCGAUGGAUUUUAUAGAUUAUG